UCGCCGUUCAAAAUAUGCGUACUCGUAAGUGGCAUUUUAAUUUCACGUUGUGUAAUGCAUGACCGUCUUUUUCAAGUGAACAAAACUCGCUUUGUAUUGCGUAAAUGGUCUUGCAACGUAUGAUGAACUCCUUGUUUUCUGUGUUUAUUUUUUCUGACAGGAAGAAAAAAAAGAGGCUUUAUAUGAGAACGGAUCAAGCGUUCGAGAGUUAGGACUGGGAAAUGUGAGACGUACUUUCAUGUAUAUAUUUCUGAUAUUAUUUUUUCGUCUUGUAAACGUGACGUAUUUUCCUUAGUUUUUCUCUAGGAAACACAGGAACGACACUGCUUAUAUUGAAGCACAGUGUGCGAAUGACCUUCUACGCUCGGAACUGUUAUCACCAUUCGGGAAUAAAUCAGGUAAGAACAGAUUGUGUGUGGCACUUCUCCGCAUGUGGACUAGAGUAGAUCUAGGAACAUCAGACAAGAAGACACGUGCGUGAAACCCUGCGGACAGCCCAUAUUUUUUAUGAGCACUGUAACUAUCCAAGCUUCACUCUCGACGGUGACAGAGAAAUGCCGGAUGCUAUACCAUCCAGAGCCAAGAACACGGGAACGGCUGAAAGAGAGCCUCCCCGGCAGUAUGGGAAACUCUCACAGCA
rnacentral:lncRNA from 1 species